rnacentral:ncRNA from 1 species
UUAGUACAGACUGAGCAGGGACGGGCAGACCGUUCCCGGGCCUUCAGGCAGUGGAAAAACUCCGCAGGACAGCA